UGGCGGGACGGGCUGCCGCUGAGUUUAAAAUGGAUAAGCGCAAGAAACGCGGGUGGCGCUGAAAAACUGCGGUUAAAAAAGCUGAAGUCUCUGGAAGUGGAAGCUGCUAAAUGUUCAAAACUGACAGACCUAUUUGGUGCCGGGGUCACCACCCCAGCAGGUGCUGCUGCGCCGGGAGAGAGCGAGUGGAGGCGUACAUGGUUGACCACUCGACAUGUGAGAGCCUGAGGAGCUGUUCCCCAUCUGUCCAUGUCCGAGGACUUGCUCUCUUACUGCCUCCACUUCUCCACCUUUUGGCUACUGAGACGUCUCUGAUUUGUUGACGCCUCCACCUGGAGGAGAGGAGCAAUGAGCAGCAGUCACAGCAGUCAAUGAAACAGCACACAUUCAGUAAACUCACAGGUUUUUCUGUCAGUGAUUCACUGAACUUCAUCAAGAGGACAAAUUCUUGAAAACAUGGACGUGUAAAAAAUAAAUGAUGUCCCACUGUCACACUGUCUCACAGCUAUUGUCCAUGUUCUCAGUAACACCUGAGCUUUUCCUUGACAAGUGAAAAUGUGAAAAAAAGGUCACUAAAAGAUUCAUGAGUCUCUCAUUUUACAAAAAGUUUUCAGGUCUGCACAAAGAAAUAGAAAUAAAUUAGACUGACCAUCCACCUACCAAACUUUGCCAACAGCCUGCAGCCUGCCUCCACCUGCAGACUGUGGCAAGCAGCUGUACCCUGACCCUCCACAUUUCAGCCUCUACCACCAGCCUUCAGGCCGCAUUUAACUGCAGACUCUGGCAAGAAGCUGGAGCCUGAUCCUCCAUCUACCUUCCUCUGCCACCAGCCUGCAGGCCGUCACCACCUGCAAAAAGUUUUCAGCAUGACUGCUAUGACAUCUUGAAGGAGUACAGCUUCUCCAGAUGGGGACCAUACUUGUCAAAAGGGAAGAUGAAUACAAUUGAUUUCUAUUGAUUUUUAUAUUGCAUAAAACACAUACAGUCAAGGUCAGAUUAACUUGUUCGGAGUCAAAGAACGAGAUUACUGCUGCCUCAAUUGUCCACCUCCACCUCAUUCAUGCUUACUUGCUGCCUCCAUGUUCAUAUCAAGCACACAGCAGACCUUACAUAGUAGCUUCAUUGUUUUCCCUCACAUCAAGAACCCAACAAGGACUCCUGGAUGAAAACAUCUGGCUCCAGGUUUUCAGUCUGUCAGUUUGAUUGUGGUCAUUUAAUUAGAUGCUGAACCUGCAGGCAACCCACCUGCAGACUCUCCACCUCCACCUAUGAGCCUCAUUCUACAACCUGGAGGCCGCCUCCACCUUCAGACUCUGGCAAACAGCAGUAGCCACCAGUGUCAGCCAACAACCUGUAGAUAACCACGCCUACCAGCUUCUGUCAAGAACCUACAAGCCACCUCCACCUGGACAAAUUGUCAGAAGGUUGUAGUCCAAAACUCCACCUACUACUAAAUUAAAUUAAAUUCAAGUCAUGAAUGAUUAGCUCCUAAAACUGAUGAGCAGUUGGCACUUUGCUUGGGAGCCAAUGCCAUCAGUCUGUGGAUGUGUGUGAAUGGGUGAAUGAUAUAUGUAAAAGCAGUUUCAGUGGUCAGAUGACUAGAAAGGUGCAAUAUAAGUACAGUCCAUUUACUAUUCAUCGUUUUAGUGUAUCAAUUUAAGCAAAGCAAAGUGGAAAUUAGCUGCUGGGCCUCCUAUUAAGGCCUUGUUCCUCGUCCUUUCUGUGCAGCGUCUGCAGUAUUCCUGUGCUAGAAUACAUCCUCAGGUUUUCUGUGUGAUAAUAAUUAUUUAAUAUACAUCAUCUGAGAACACUGUUAAUAUCAGUUUAAAACUAGACUUUUCACAUCAUUUACACAACUGUUGCUGUUUGUUAUUCUUAUUGCAUCUGAUGAGAGCGAAGGUUCAACUGGGAUAAAAAUAUA